UGACCCCCUGGGUUCAUUCAGGGCUGGGCGUCGUGAGCAUUUUGCUCACCUCUGCCCUCUGGCCAUCGCAUUCCCCCGGGAUGCGGACUCCAGUCAAUAGGCGAAGCUGGAUCCUGGACUAGACUCUACGCUGCCGAAUAGCUGCUGUUACCGCACAGUUGCAGGCUCUUGGUGCCCCGAACAAAAAUUUGAACGAGUCACACAGAGAUAGCAAAGCAGCAAGUUUAUUAAGCACAGUAUUCCACUCUCGGAGGGGAGAGCGGACUGACCUCUGCGAGAUAAGAUCAGCCCCAGCUUGGUGUAGUUUGGGUCUUUUUUUUUUUUCCCCGACGUAGUCUCGCUGUGUUGCCCAGGCUGGAGUGCAAUGGUGCGGUCUCGGCUCACUGCAGCCUUCGCCUUCCGAGUAGCUGGGAUUACAGGCGCCCGCCACCACGCCCGGCUAAUUUUUGUAGUUUUUGUAGAGAUGAUGUUUCACCAUGUUAGCCAGGCUUUUCUUCUUUUCCCAAGGCUGCCUAAUCUGUAGCCAGUGUCUACCUUUUUGAAUGAUAGGUGUGUUGCUUAGUUACUUUGGCCCCUGUGCGCUUGAGGGCCGUCUUCAUUCCAUAAUUUUAAGUACCUGCAUGAUAUGCCGUCCAUAUGCAUGAGCGCUAAUGAGCUGGUUAUCCUUACGUUAAGGAUACUUUUUGUGUUUAAUGCGCAUGCUUAUGCCUAAAGAGCUGUUCCUUACUGGUUUGGUCCUGAUUUCCCUGGCCAUGGGAUUUUUACUCAGUUUUUAAUCUUCCUUUUGUUUUGUCUCCUCAGCUUCUGCCAUUUAUCUUGCUUCUUGCUCACCCGCCCCUUCACCUUGCUUCUGCUCUCUGGUUUUACUUAUUUUGCCCUUUAUCCAACGUUUAAUUCCCUUUGCUCUUCUUCUGCUUCAUUUUCUUUGUUCUCCUGCCUCACUGUCAGUCACCAACCUUAAAUGCCUGCAAGGUAACUGGAAACUUUGGACAAUUGCACAGUCUCCUGCAUCUAUAUCUUUGGGGAGCACUCCGUACCAGAUUCCAGGUUUGCGAGGGCUGGUGAGACAAGGGCCUUCCUUCCUCAAUUCAGUCAAUUUGUAAGCCAAAAAGUAUCUGAGACAGGUCUCAAUCAAUUGACAGGUUUAUGUAGACAAGGUUAAGGACAUGCCUGUAAUCCCAGCACUUUGGGAGGCCAAGGUGGGCAGAUCACGAGGUCAGGAGUUUGAGACUAGCCUGGCCAACAUGGUGAAACCCCGUCUCUACUUUAAAAAAAAAAAAAAAAAUUUAGCCAGGUGUGGUGGUGGGCACCUGUAAUCCCAGCUACUUGGGAGACUGAGGCAGGAGAAUCACUUGAACACUGGAGGCGGAGGUUGCAGUGAGCUGAGAUCGCGCCACUGCACUCCAUCCUGGGCAACAGAGCGAGGCUGUGUCUCAAUUCUUUUUUUUGAGACAGAGUCUUGCUCUGUUGCCCAGGCUGGAGUGCAGUGGAACAAACUCAGCUCACUGCAACCUCUGCCUCCCUUGUGCAAGCGAUUCUCUUGCCUCAGCCUCCUGAGUAGCUGGAAUUACAGGCACGCACCACCACACCUGGCUAUUUUUUGUAUUUUUAGUAAAGACAGGGUUUCACCAUGUUGUCCAGGCUGGUCUCGAACUGCUGACCUCAAGUGAUCCGCCCACCUCAACCUCCCAAAAUGCUGGGAUUACAGGCGUGAGCCACCAUGCCCGGCCUAUCAUUUGCUUUUGAAUGGCAGGAUCCAGAGACUAAAACCACCUUUUACUAUUGUUGAACUAUACUGCUACAAUGGUUUAAGAAUUCUCCAAUGCCGGAGACCAAGAUGGCUGCGAGGCUCAGCGCCUUCCUCAAGAAUGCCUGGGACAAGGAGCCAGUGCUGGUCGCGUCCUUUGUCAUCGGGGGCCUCGCUAUAAUUAUGCCCUCAUUCAGCCCCUACUUCAAGUACUCCAUCAUGAUCAAUGAGGCCACGCCCUACAACUACCCAGUGCCCGUCCGUGAUGAUGAGAACGUGCCGGACGUGCCCAGCCACCCCCAGGACCCUCAGGGCCCCAGCCUGGAGUGGCUGAAGAAACUGUGAGCACCUUCACUGACAGAGGCGGCCCCUCCCACGGCUCCCAAUAAAAAUGUGAAAACCAAAAAAAAAAAA